AGAGUUUGAUUCUGGCUCAGAACGAGCGCUGGCAGCGUGGAUUAGGCAUGCAAGUCGAACGGGAAUCCAUUGAUUCAAUCCUUCGGGAGAGAAGCGAUGGAGGAGAGUGGCGGAAGGGUGAGUAACGCGUGGGUAAUCUGCCUUCAAGUCUGGGACAACUUCCCGUAAGGGGAGCUAAUCCCGGAUGUGAUCGUUCCUCGCAUGGGGAACUGAUUAAAGGUGGGGACUUUGGCCUCGGUCGAGGCCUGUCGCUUGAUGAGGAGCCCGCGUCCCAUCAGCUUGUUGGUGAGGUAAGAGCUCACCAAGGCAUACGGGUAGCUGGUCUGAGAGGAUGGUCAGCCACACUGGGACUGAGACACUGCCCAGACUCCUACGGGAGGCUGCAGUCGAGGAUCAUUUGCAAUGCGCGGAAGCGUGACAAUGCGAUGCUGCGUGGAGGAUGAAGGCCUUCGGGUUGUAAACUCCUGUCAUUCGGGAACAAUAGCAGGAUGGUGAAUACCCAUUUUGUGUGAUGGUACCGAAAGAGGAAGCCACGGCUAACUCUGUGCCAGCAGCCGCGGUAAUACAGAGGUGGCGAGCGUUGUUCGGAUUUACUGGGCGUAAAGUGUGCGUAGGUGGUUUCGUGUGUCGGAUGUGAAAGCCCACCGCUCAACGGUGGAACUGCAUUCGAAACUGCGGAACUAGAGUACAGGAAGGGAGAGCGGAAUUCUUGGUGUAGCGGUGAAAUGUGUUGAUAUCAAGAAGAACACCGGUGGCGAAGGCGGCUCUCUGGAAUGAUACUGACGCUGAGGCACGAAAGCUGGGGGAACAAACAGGAUUAGAUACCCUGGUAGUCCCAGCCGUAAACGGUGUGCACUUGGUGUGGGGAGUAUUGACCCUCUCCGUGCCGGAGCUAACGCGUUAAGUGCACCGCCUGGGGAGUACGGCCGCAAGGCUAAAACUCAAAGAAAUUGACGGGGGCCCGCACAAGCGGAGGAGCAUGUGGCUUAAUUCGAUGCAACGCGAAGAACCUUACCAGGGCUUGACAUGUAACUGCAAGCCCGCCGAAAGGUGGGCCGCCUUCGAGGGUGUUACACAGGUGCUGCAUGGCUGUCGUCAGUUCGUGCCGUGAGGUGUUGGGUUAAGUCCCGCAACGAACGCAACCCUUGUGUUCAGUUGCCACCGCGGGUGAUGAGCCCGCGAGCACUCUGGACAGACUGCCCGUACAAGCGGGAGGAAGGUGGGGACGACGUCAAGUCAGUAUGGCCCUUACGCCCUGGGCUGCACACGUGCUACAAUGGCCGGUACAAAGGGACGCAAUGCCGCGAGGCGGAGCAAAUCCUCAAAACCGGCCCCAGUUCGGAUUGGGGUCUGCAACUCGACUCCUUGAAGUCGGAUUCGCUAGUAACGGCGCAUCAGCUACGGCGCCGUGAAUACGUUCCCGGGCCUUGUACACACCGCCCGUCACAUCAUAAAAGCCGUCUGCACCCGAAGUCGCCGCACCUGCUUGUAGCUUUUAGUUGCAGCAGUCGGGCGCCGAAGGUGUGGGUGGUGAUUGGGACGAA
rnacentral:rRNA from 1 species